rnacentral:lncRNA from 1 species
CCAGACUUGCAAGUCAUUCAUAUCGCACUAUAACAUGUCUAUAGCCCCUUUUUAUUUUUCGUCAUGUUAAUGGCCACCCAAAUGCUUUAAACAUCAUGUGAGAGAGAGUCUUGCUAUAGAUUUUUAUAUGAGUUCACACAAAAAGACUCUCUUCUUAAUAUUACAACCAUAUGGUGGCCAUCUCAUGUUUGCAUUUACUUAAAACUCAUGAAAUCCUUUAAUUAAUACAAUG